rnacentral:rRNA from 1 species
GACGAACGCUGGCGGCGUGCUUAACACAUGCAAGUCGAACGGAAAGGCCCCUUUUGGGGUACUCGAGUGGCGCACGGGUGAGUAACACGUGAGUAACCUGCCCUUGACUUCGGGAUAACUUCAGGAAACUGGGGCUAAUACCGGAUAGGAAUCCUUGCUGCAUGGUGGGGGUUGGAAAGCUUCGGCGGUUUUGGAUGGACUCGCGGCUUAUCAGCUUGUUGGUGGGGUAGUGGCUUACCAAGGCUUUGACGGGUAGCCGGCCUGAGAGGGCGACCGGCCACAUUGGGACUGAGAUACGGCCCAGACUCCUACGGGAGGCAGCAGUGGGGAAUAUUGCACAAUGGGCGGAAGCCUGAUGCAGCAACGCCGCGUGCGGGAUGACGGCCUUCGGGUUGUAAACCGCUUUCAGCAGGGGCGAAGCUUGUGGUGACGGUACCUGCAGAAGAAGCACCGGCUAACUACGU